CUUUGUUGUUGGGGAUUUCAGACUGAGUUUAGCACAUUAAGAAACAGUUGUAGUAGUAACUGUAGAAGCAGGACCAUGGGAGAGGAAAGAUGAGGGCCAUUUUACAUCAGGCCACUUUAUCAUUAGCUUAACAACUAAAUCCUUUCUCAAGUUAACUUUUUGAAAUUCUUCCUUCCCUUCUAAGAUCUAACUGUCUUUAUCUUUUCACCCUCCUUACCUCACCAUGGAUCCAAGAAUCAUCUACAGUGACAAGCAAGAUCAGGUCAAGCCUGCUUGGAAGAGGACAGAUUCUGAAAAUCAACUCUUCCUUCAGGAAUCAUUAGAAAGGUUACGCAGUUCCUUUUCACUUACUCGCAACAACAUCUGUGUAGAUGAGGGUGGAAAUAAGCUUCUGGAAGACACUAACAAGAACACCACUUUGGCAAGUAGCAGUAAAGAAAUGAUGGAACAAUAUCUGAAUGAGGUUCAAGAAGUGGGAUGCAAAUGCCUGCAAGUAACUGAUGAGAUGGCAAAUCAAAUCAUUGAGAAGAAUAGGGAAGCUUUUGAAGUCCUGGAUAGAGGUGAAUUUCAGAAUGCAAUCAACUUGUUCACAGAGGCCAUUGAGCUGAAUCCACAUAUUUCCAGUUCAUACAUUUACCGGGCCAAUGUCUUUAUGCAGUUACAGGAGCCAAAUGCUGUCAUUAAAGACUGUGACCGAGCCAUUGAACUUGAUCCCAAAUCAUCAGCAGCAUUCAAACUGAGAGGGAAAGCUCUCCAGAAUUUGGACCGUUUCAGAGAAGCAGCCCAUGACCUUGGUUUAGCUUGCAAUUUGGAUUAUGAUGAAGAAGCCAAUGCGGUGCUAAGGAAAUUUAAGUUAGGGUUGCAAAAGAUUUCUGAGAGACAGGCAGAGUGUGCCCUAAGAUACAAGGAGACUGAGAUACUGGGGAAGUUGAAGAAUGCACAGGCAGCUUUAGAGGAUCAGGAAAGAAGGAAGAGAGAAGACUCUAGUGCACAACUGGUGAAUGAAAUAGCAAAUGAGAAAGAGGAGGCAAUCAUGCUAGACCAUGGUGAUUCUUCCCAAGAGACAACAGAUGAAAAUGUGGAAAUGAAAGCUGAGAGGUGGAAGCAGGCCAGUGAAAAAAAGCAGGAAGCUUUGGAUGCAGUGAAGAAAGGUGAACUGCAAAGAGCUAUUGACCUGUUCACUGAAGCUAUCAGAUUAAACCCCCAACUUUCCAACUUGUACAUUUACCGAGCAAGUACAUUUCUGAAGUUGCACAUGCCACAUGCUGCCAUAAAAGACUGCAACCAAGCCAUAAAAAUAAACCCUAAUGCUGCAGCACCAUAUAAAUGGCGGGGGGGAGCAUUUCAUCUGCUGGGUUACUGGCAGGAGGCUGCUAAAGAUCUUGCUUUGGCCUGUCAGUUGGACUAUGAUGAAGAUACCUAUGCCAUUCUGAAGGAGGCACAAGCAGAGGCCCAGAAAAUCAUUAGCCAACAAGAAAGUGAGGGAAAACAUGAGGGAGGAGAACGUAAAAAGAAGAUGGACAGAAUGAAGAAAGCCCCUGUAGACCAGGAAAGAGCUCAUACUAAGCUUUCCAAAUCAGAAACUCAAAAGACUUCUACAAAAGAACAGGAGAGAGAUGCAUUUAGAAUCUCUGAAGACAAGGAAGUUCAGUAUAGUUGUGCCCAAGAACAUGAAACAUUUCCACUUUAUUUUACAGAGGAACAAGGCAAAGCUUAUCCAAUGUUUGCUGAAGAAAUGGAAAGAGGUUGGCCAAUAGAUGAUGAAAAACAUGAAACAUCUAAAAUACAUGACCUGGAGAGUGAAGAGGAUGAAUUAGAUAUUGAUACUGAAGAAGUGAUUGAGCCUGAGGAAGAUGUUCCUCAAGAGAUGGGUGACGAGAGCUUGAAGGUAACAGAUAAAAUGCGAAAACAGGCCAAUGAAAAGAAGAGAGAAGCUUUUGAAGCAGUCAAUAAAGGUGAACUUUUAAGAGCUUUAGACCUAUUCACUGAAGCCAUUAAGCUCAAUCCACACCUUACUAUAUUGUACGCAAACCGAGCCAGUGUCUAUCUGAAGCUUCAGAAGCCAAACGCUGCAAUUAGGGACUGUGAUAAAGCUAUACAAAUUAACCCUGACUCCGCACAGCCCUACAAAUGGAGAGGGAAAGCAUUGCAACUACUUGGUCACUGGCAGAAGGCUGCUAAAGACCUUGCCUUGGCCUGCCAAUUGGAUUAUGAUGAAGACUCUUAUGCCAUGUUGAAAAAAGUACAAUCAAAGGCCAAAAAAUUUGCCAAAUUUUGGAGAAAGCGUGAGCAGAUACUUCAGGAAAAGAAGUAUAAAGAGCAAUUAGAUAGGAUUCAGAAAGUUCAUGAGAAGCAUGAAAGAGCUCAAACUAUCCCAACAGAGCUAGAAACUGAUGACAAGAGAGUUAUGAAAGACCAGAAAGGAGCUAGGGAGGAAAGCAUGAAGAAGCAACAAAGAGUCAAACAGAUGGUGCUAAAGAAACAGGAGCGAAUGCCCCAAGAUAAGGUGGGGAGAGGUCUGCAAAAAGAGAUAAAGAAACAGUUGAGAUCUUAUGAGAAGGAAACGGAAGAACACAAAAACUUUCAACAGAAACUACUAGAGGAACAAGAGAUUCAUCAGCAGAAGGAACCUAAAAACCAGGGAAUAGCUCAGCUGACAGAGCUGGAGGAACAGUUGAAAGCUCUUCAGGAAGAACUGGAGGAAAAGAUGAGGACUCAAGAAGAAGAUUUAGAUGAAGAAUCAAGUGCUUUGCAAAGAGUAUUAGAAGAACAGGAGAGAUCACACCAGAAGCUACUUGAGGAGCAAGGAAGAGCCUACAAAAAGAUCCUAGAAGAACAAGAAAGAGCCCAGAAGAUGGCUCUAGAAGAACUGGCAAUUGCUCAGCAAGAGGCUCUGGAAUCUUUGGAAAGGGCUCGCAAGAAGGCCCUUGGAGAACAAGACUGGGCACAGAAGCAAGCCCUAAUGGAACAGGAAAGAGCACAGAAAGCUUUGGAAGCACUGGAAAGAGUUCGAAAGAUAGCCCUUGAGGAACAAGAGAGAGCUCAGCAGCAGGCCCUAGAAGAAAAGGAAAAAGCUCUGGAAGCUCUAGAAAGAGCUCAGAGGAUAGCCCUUGGGGAACAGGAGAGAGCACAGCAGCAGGCCUUAGAAGAGCAGAUAAAAGUUCAGAAUGCUCUGGAAGCUCUGGAAAGAAUUCAGAAACAAGCCCUUGGGGAACAGAAAAGAGCUGAAAAAGCUUUGGAUGAUCUAGCAGAAGCUCAAAAGAAAGCCCUUGGGGAACAGGAGAGAGUUCGGCAGCAGGCACUAGAAGAACAGGAAAAAGCUCAGAAAGAUCUGGAAACUCUGGAAAGAGCUCAGAAGGUAGCCCUCGGGGAACAGGAGAGAAUUCGGAAGCAGGCCCUAGAAGAACAGGAAAAAACUCAGAAAGCUCUGGAAGUUCUGGAAAGAGCUCAGAAUAUAGCCCUUGCGGAACAUGAGAGAGCUUGGCAGCAGGCCAUGGAAGAACAGGAAAAAGCUCAGAAAGCUUUGGAAGCUCUGGAAAGAGCUCAGAAGGCAGCCCUUGGGGAACAGGAGAGAGUCCGGCAGCAGGCCCUAGAAGAACAGGGAAAAGCUCAGAAAGCUCUGGAAGCUCUAGAAAGAGCUCAGAAGGCAGCCCUUGGGGAACAGGAGAGAGCUUGGCAGCAUUCCAUAGAAGAACAGGAAAAAGCUCAGAAAGCUCUGGAAACUCUGGAAAUAGCUCAGAAGGUAGCCCUUGGAGAACAGGAGAGAGCUCGGCAGCAGGCACUAGAAGAACAGGAAAAAGCUCAGGAAGCUCUGGAAGCUCUAGAAAGAGCUCAGAAUAUAGCCCUUGGGGAACAGCAGAGAGCUUGGCAGCAGGCCCUGGAAGAACAGGAAAGAGCUCAGAAGGUAGCCCUUGGGGAACAGGAGAGAGCUCGGCAGCAGGCCUUGGAAGAACAAAUAAGAGCUCAGGAAGCUCUGAAAGCUCUGGAAAGAGCUCAGAAGAAAGCCCUUGAGGAACAGGAGACUUCUCAGCAGCAGGCCCUAGAAGAAUUGGAAAGAGCACAGAAGAAAGCCCUUGAGGAACAGGAGAGAGCUCGGCAGCAAGCUGUAGAGGAACAAGUAAAAACUCAAAAUGUUUUGGAAGAACUAUUAAUAACUCAGAAGAAAUCCCUGGAGGAACAGGAAAGAGCUCAGAAAGCUUUGGAAGAGCUGGCAACAGCUCAAAAGAAAUUCCUUGAGGAACAGGAAAGAGCUCAGCAGCAGGCCCUAGAAGAACAGGGGAAAGCUCAGAAAGCACUAGAAGCACUGGAAAGAGCUCAGAUGGUAGCCCUUGAGGAACAGCAGAGAGCUUGGCAGCAGGCCCUGGAAGAACAGGAAAGAGCUCAGAAGGUAGCCCUUGGAGAACAGGAGAGAGCUCGGCAGCAGGCCUUGGAAGAACAAAUAAGAGCUCAGGAAGCUCUGAAAGCUCUGGAAAGAGCACAGAAGAAAGCCCUUGAGGAACAGCAGAGAGCUCAGCAGCAAGCUGUAGAAGAACAGGGGAAAACUAAGAAAGCACUAGAAACACUGGAAAGAGCUCAGAUGGUAGCCCUUGAGGAACAAGAGAGAGCUCGACAGCAAGCCCUAGAAGAACAGAGGAAAGCUCAUAAAGCACUAGAAGCACUGGAAAGAGCUCAGAUGGCAGCCCUUGAGGAACAGGAGAAAGCUCGGCAGCACGCCCUAGAAGAACAGGAAAAGGCUCAGAAAGCACUAAAAGCACUGGAAAUAGCUCAGAAGGUAGCCCUUGAGGAACAGGAAAGAGCUCAGAUUGCAGCCCUUGAGGAACAUGAGAGAGCUCGGCAGCAAGCCCUAGAAGAACAGGGGAAAGCUCAGAAAGCACUAGAAGCACUGGAAAGAGCUCAGAUGGUAGCUCUUGAGGAACAGGAGAGAGCUCGGCAGCAGGCCCUAGAAGAACAGGGAAAGGCUCAGAAAGCUCUAGAAGCACUGGAAAGCGCUCAGAAGGUAGCCCUUGAGGAACAGGAAAGAGCUCAGAAGGUAGCCCUUGAGGAACAGGAAAGAGCUCAGAUUGCAGCCCUUGAGGAACAUGAGAGAGCUCGGCAGCAAGCCCUAGAAGAACAGGGGAAAGCUCAGAAAGCACUAGAAGCACUGGAAAGAGCUCAGAUGGUAGCCCUUGAGGAACAGGAGAAAGCUCGGCAGCAGGCCCUAGAAGAACAGGGAAAGGCUCAGAAAGCUCUAGAAGCACUGGAAAGAACUCAGAUGGUGGCCCUUGAGGAACAGGAGAGAGCUCAGCAGCAGGCCUUAGAAAAACAGGUGGAAGCUCUGGAAGCUCUGGAAAGGGCUCAGAAAAAAGCCCUUGAGGAACAAGAAAGAGCCGAGAAAGCAUUUGAAGAACUGAGAGCAGCUGAAAAGAAAGCCCUUGAGGAACAGGAGAGAGUUUGGCAGCAGGCUCUAGUAGAACAGGAGAGAGCUCAGAAAGCUCUGGAAACUCUGGAAAGAGCUCAAAAGAUAGCCCUUGAGGAACAGGAGAGUGCUCGGCAGCAGGCUCUAGUAGAACAGGAGAGAGCUCAGAAAGCCCUGGAAGCUCUGGAAAUAGCUCACCAGCAGGCAUUGGAGGAACAGCAGAAGGUUCAGAUAGCAGCCAUGGAAGAACAGGAGAAAGUGUGGAAACAAUCUCUGCAUGAAAAGAAGAUGGCUGAGGCAGCUCUGGAAGAACUCUCAAGGGCCCAGGAAAAAAUCCCAGAAGAAAAUAAAAGAGCUGAGAAGAAAGCACUGAAAGAAAGAGAGAGAGCUGAGAAGGCUCUACGAGAAUUAGAGACUGCUCAGAAGAAGGCCCUGGAGGACUUGCAGACUGCUCAAAAUAAGGCUGCUGAGGAAAACGAAAGAGCUCAAAACAAGGCCUUGGAGGAACAGAGGAAUGCACAGGUGGCCCUGGAAAGACUGGAGAGAGCACAUGCUUGGGCCAUAGAGGAGCAUCAGAAGGCUCAGAAGGCAGCCUUUGAAGAACAGCAGAGAGCUAAAAUGAUGCUUAAUGAACUGGAAGAAGCACAGAGGAAGGCCUUGGAGGAGCAAGAAACUGCAAGACUGAAGGCAGUAGAGGAACAAGUGAGAGCUCAUCUUGCUGUAGAAGAAUUGGCCAAGGCUCAAAGGGCUGCUAUGGAGGAACAAGACAGGAAUCAGAAGGCAACCUUAGCAGAACAGGAGAGAGUUAAGAUGAUGCUUCAGGAACUGGAAGAAACACAGAAGAAGGCUGUGGAAGAACAGGAAAAAGCACGGGUGGAGGCUCUUGAGCAACAAGAGAAAGCUCAUCUGGCUAUGGAAGAAUUGGUAAAGGCUCAAAAAGCAGCCUUGGAGGAACAAGAAAUAACUCAGAAGGCAGCCGUAGCAGAGCAGAAAGCUAAGAACAUGCUCAAGGAACUGGAGGAAAUGCAGAGAAAGGCUUUGGAAGAUCAGGGGAAAGUGCGGAUGGAGGCACUUGAGCAGCAAGAAAGAGCUCAUCUUGCUAUGGAAGAAUUGGCAAAGGCUCAAGAGGAACACGAAAAAACUCAGAAGGCCGCCCUAGCAGAACAAGAGAGAGCUAAGAAGAUGCUCCAAGAAAUGGAGGAAGCACAGAGAAAAGCUUUGGAAGAACAGAGAAAAGCACGGAUGGAGGCCCUUGAACAGCAAGAGAAUGCUCAUCAUGCUAUGGAAGAACUGGCAAAGGCUCACAAGGUAGCUCUGGAGGAACAGGAGAAGGCUCAGAAGGCAUCCCUAGCAGAACAGCAGAAAGCUAAGAAGAUGCUCCAGGAAAUGGAGGAAAAACAAAGAAAGGCUUUGGAGGAACAAGAAAGUGUGCGGGUGAAGGCUGUAGAGGAACAAGUGAAAGCCCAUCUUACUAUAGAAGAAUUGGCAAAGGCUCAAAGGGCAGCUUUGGAGGAACAAGAAAGAAUGCAGAAGGCAGCCCUAGCAGAACAGGGAAAAGCAAAGAAGAUGCUUCAGGAACUGGAAGAAACACAAAGGCAGGCCUUGGAGGAACAAGAAAAUGUACAUCUGAAGGCUCUAGAGGAACAAGAGAGAGCUCGUCUUGCUAUGGAAGAACUAGCAAAGGCUCAAAGGGCAGCUUUGGAGGAACAAAAGAAAGCACAGAAGGCAGCCCUAGCAGAGCAGGCGGCUAAGAAGAUGCUCCAGGAGCUGGAAGAAAAGCAGAGAAAGUCCUUGGAGGAGCAAGAAACCGCACGGCUGAAGGCUGUGGAGGAACAAGUGAAAGCCCAUCUUGCUAUAGAAGAAUUGGCAAAAGCUCAAAGGGCAGCUUUGGAAGAACAAGAGAGGACUCAGAAGGCCGCUCUAGCAGAACAGGAAAAAGCUAAGAAGAUGCUUCAGGAACUGGAAGAAACACAGAGAAAGGCUGUGGAAGAACAGGAAAAAGCACGGUUGGAAGCCCUUGAGCAACAAAAGAGAGCUCAUCUUGCUAUGGAGGAAUUAGCAAAGGCUCACAGGAUAGGUCUGCAGGAACAAGGGAGAACUCAGAAGGCAUCCCUAGCAGAACAGCCAAAAGCAAAUAAGUUCUUCCAGGAAGAAAGACAGAGAAAGGCUUUGGAAGAACAAGAAACUGCAAGGCUGAAGGCUAUAGAGGAACAAGUGAGAGCUCAUAUUGCUAUAGAAGAAUUGUCAAAGGCUCAAAGGGCAGCUUUGGAGGAACAGGAGAGGACUCAGAAGGCAGCCCUAGCAGAACAGGAAAAAGCUAAGAAGAUGCUUCAGGAACUGGAAGAAACACAGAGAAAGGCUGUGGAAGAACAGGAAAAAGCACGGAUGGAAGCCCUUGAGGAACAAAAGAGAGCUCAUCUUGCUAUGGAGGAAUUGGCAAAGGCUCACAGGAUAGCUCUGGAGGAACAGGAGAAGGCUCAGAAGGCAGCCCGAGAAGAACAGGAAGGGGCUCAAAAAGCCAUGGAAGAUCUGGAGAGAAAACAAAAGCACUUUGAGGAAAUUGAAAUAAUACACAAUUCAAAUUCUGUACCCUUUCAAUGUACAGAAUUACAGAAAUCAGUGUCCGACGUACAGAAUGUAGUGCAAAUUCAGAAGCCUGGUGUACAAAAGGAUGAUGAGGAAUGCAAGGCAGUGAAAAAAAUGGGUGCUAAAGAACCAGAGGGAGUUAAAACAAAAGCUCGAAAGCAGAGCAGAGCUCAGAAAAAGCUCAUCUAUGUCCAGCUAGCAAAGGCUCGCUUGGAGAUAGAACAGCAAGAACCCACACAAUCUCAGAAGGGCACAGGGCAGAGCAAGAGCUCACCAAGCCCGGAUUCACAAUGUGUUUUGGACUUUUUUCAAACUGAGUGAAUUCCAGAAUGCUGAUCCCGUAUGAAGGUCAGGAAAAAAGUGAACUGAAUUUGAAGGCCAUCUGCAGAAGACCUUCCCCUGAACCCAGGCUUAGGAAGCUACCUGCCUUAUUGUGGGUCAGACCAUUGAUCCAUCUAGGGCAGAACUGCAGGGUGCCUUAGACUGUACUGCUCCCAGCCAAUUCACAUAGCUGAAAUGGACAGCGUGGGCUUUUCAUUCCUCUCGGCUGGAUUCCCACAUUCACUGCAGGCCAUCCUGGGCAGAAAGGUAAUUCCCACGCUCUCACUUGCCCAACAGAGUGCUGAACCAGGGGCAGAAGAAGCCAAUGUCUGGACAAACCUCCCAAUAUAAAUAAAAAUGCUUGUGACUAGGUGAGAUACAAUUGAAAACAUUUGUUAUUUAAUACAGACCAAAACAUAAUUCCGGAAGUGCUUCCUUUUCUGCUCUUGAUGGUUUCAGCAUUAGUGAAAUGUGUGUGUGUGUAGUUUUGAAAGCAGCUGUGUUCUAAAUCAUGAAACAAUUCACCGCUUUCUGAUGUUUAAAACUUCAGCCUUGAAAUGUGGAAUCGAAAUUUAGUGUUAUGUAAAUGGAGUAGUUGCUAUGGCUUUUUAUUAAAGCUUUUAUGCUGUAACCAGCUGUUUCCUCUCUGUGGGUAAAAUGGUUGUAAAAUGUGGUUUAAAAAUCAAAAUAGCUGCCCAGUGGCUUUAUACUCAGUUUCUGACUUUCUCGAAAUAAACCUACCCCGUUCUCAGCUGAAGAUUACAAUAAAAUUAUCUCCAAAAUGAAGCUCUGAGAACAUAUAAAAUCUAUAGCAACUAUCCAGCACAUAGUUGGAUACUCUUCAGUCCAUAUGAAUAGGCUUAACAAUGACUAACUCUUGUGCUGGAUUGUGGCUUGUGUAUAAUAACAUAUGUACUUGCCCCUUCCCAGAUUUCUGGCAUACUCAAGUUUCGAUCAAGGCCUGGGAUCCUUAUGAAUGAGAUUCAGGAUGCAGAAUAGGCUUAACAGAUGCAGGGUUUAAUGUACGGAUUCCUUCCCUCCAUAAAGCAAAAACACAGACUGUUAUCCUUCUAGAAUUCCCAUUGGCCAGAAUGCAAACUAAGGCAGUGACUAAAGCCAUGCUCAGACAUUAUGUUGUAUGUGCAUGCCGUUGUCUUCACACAUGUACAUGUUUUUCUCUGAAUAGCAUGCAUUCAUUUUAAAUGUGAUUCUGGAUACAGCCCUCAAAUGCAGAGUACAGACAGGAUGUGUACUGCUUACUAUACAUGCAUUGAAUCUAAUGCAUGAAUAUUUGUACAGGUAUACAGAAUUGUACAUGUAUACAUUGUACAUAGAUUAUAUGUAUGAUUAUAAAUACAAUAUGUGACGAGGAUUUCUGCCUCAUUGAAAUUAAUGGAAUUUAAGUUAGUCAUGGCUAAUCUGCCUCAUUUAUUUCAAGGUGCAUAGUCAUGACUAACUUGUGUGGAUCCUACCCUUUGUCCUUUAAGACCAAUAUAAAUCCUGGGUUGGACCAGUCUGUGAUUAAUGCAGGACAUUCUGAAAUACUAGCUUUGAUCAAAGCAAUUGUUUUGUCACAAACAAAUUGGUUCUCUAUGGCUGCCAUUUAGUUCUGUGGAACAAAGUGAUGCUGGUUCCACUGAUGGGGUAAAGGGGUGCACUGUGUGUAUGUCCACAAGAUACAGUUCUGGGUCUGGGAUGCACUUUUUCAAUGCACCUUUUCAAUGCACCCACAAACCAACCUAGUUCAGGUGUAUUAUUUCCUCACAGUGUUGAUUAAUUCAUUGAAAUGAAUGCCUUACCCCAACCUAAAGCACCGGGUUUAGGUAGAAUAUUUAAUAAAAUACUCUAUUAAAACACAAUCCAAUAGAUCAACUAAAGCAUAACAAAAAUGCCAGCCUUCUGAUAGCUUAACCCAUCCCUAUCCGCCCCAGAUCCUAAUCUAAGCAGAUAAGUCUUACAGCAUUUCAGAAAGAUGCUCAGGAUCUGGAUAUUAUGAAAUAUC